rnacentral:rRNA from 1 species
UACGGGGGGGGUAAGCGUUGUUCGGAAUUACUGGGCGUAAAGGGCUCGUAGGCGGCCAACUAAGUCAUACGUGAAAUCCCUCAGCUUAACUGGGGAACUGCGUGUGAUACUGGAUGGCUUGGAUUUGGGAGAGGGAUGCGGAAUUCCAGGUGUAGCGGUGAAAUGCGUAGAUAUCUGGAGGAACACCGGUGGCGAAGGCGGCUUACUGGUCCGGUUCUGACGCUGAGGCGCGAAAGCGUGGGGAGCAAACAGG